GUAAGUAUAGUUUAACCAAAAUAUUAGAUUGUGAUUCUAAAGACAGGAGUUAAAAUCUCCUUACUCACC
rnacentral:tRNA from 21 species